rnacentral:tRNA from 1 species
AAGGGAGACCUAAUUCAGGUAUGGGACGAAAAAAAAGUAGUCGCUACCAAGAAUCAAUCCCAAAAGGUCGGAGCGAGGCGAAAUUGGCUUUCAAACUAGGUUCUGGGUUCAAACAAGACCUGAAUCAGGAACAAGGGCUAUUAGCUCAGGUGGUUAGAGCGCACCCCUGAUAAGGGUAAGGUCCCUGGUUCGAGUCCAGGAUGGCCCACCUGCACAGGUGGCAAAAACAAAGAAGCGAGGAAUCAGCACCUUAUCUUACUAUACAUAUAUAAGAGAGAAUGCUGGCUCUGAGUACAGAGUCCAGAGGAACCUUGAAAACUGCAUAGAGCUAGGUGAAAAAGCCAAAAAAGAAGACCGCAAGGUCAAGCUAAUAAGGGCUAACGGUGGAUACCUAGGCAC